UUGCUGUAAUUGAUGGACACUGCCAGUUGCUUAGACAGAUGGGAAUUAAUACUGGUGUUCCCAUUAGAACUCACCAUCACAGUCAUGUUGGCUUUGGUCUCCUGCACUGGGUUGAUGUGUGCAAGCAAGUCCAUGUGGAAGGAGCAAGCAUGGCUCCUGCCUGCAGUACUUGUCUUCCAGGGUAUUGGAGCCAUCCAUCCAACACAGAGCAGAUGAGCUGCUUGCCAGUUUGCAGAACACAUGGCUUUGAGACGGUGAGAAAAAUGCUUCUUUCCUGGAUGCUGAGAGGUUGCAGCGCGUGGGACUCUCAUCCCCGGAGGCAUCUGUGAGCUGUGGUUCCAGGUCUCUAAGACGGUGCUGAGUUACUGAACUGAAAUGUUGUACCCUAUCUUGAUGCCACGGGUGAAAUGGAGUGACGUGGAGCAAUGUGAGUCCCUUUGCCUGGCAGUACAAGGACAUACAUGAAAACCGGAGGUGUUCUCACCUACCAGACACCUCUGGGUGGGUACAGAGCACUGCUCCACCUUACAGGAGCAGAUAAACAGACACAUAGCACCCAAGUUGUACGGCAUGGUUAAACACUUCGGCUGUGGUCCAGGGACACUGUGCGCAUGGGGCAAACUCCACCAGAGGUCCUCCAGGAGAGCCUGGGGAACGUAUCGGCCUCCGUGUUCCUUUAGCUGGGCUGCGCUGGGGUCUUGACAAAAUUCCUUCUGUCCUGGAAGACACUGUUGCUGUGCUGAUGACUUGUGCUCAGCUGUUCCCAGCCUCUGGGAAGGUGGGGUUUUAUGGACCCCUCAUUCCAUUUGUUCUGUUUAUCUCUGCCACACUUUAUUUUGUCCAUCUU